GGGCUCGGGCUCGGGCUCGGGCUCGGGCUCGGGCGCGGCGGGGAGGGGAGGAGUGUUCCAGUUUCAUUUCCAGCUUCUCAGCGCCUUGGUCCUACUUUCCUCUCUUCCUUUGAUUCUCGACUUUGGCUCUUUCUCCCCCCUGUACCUCCUGGCAGACACCCCCUUCUUCCAAAAGCGAUUCAAAAGUCGAACAAAGGAUUUGAAG